CAAAGAGACCUUUUCAAUCCAGACAAUGGGCAAUGACUAUAUGAAGUUUAGGAUUCUGUAUCUGCAGUGGGGUGACCCUGGAUGUAUGGACAGACUGGGGAAUGAGAUGCUGGAGAGCAGUUCUGGGAAAAAGGACUGGUCAGCAGAAAGUUGAACACAAGGCAGCAGUGCCCCGGCAGCCAGGAGGGCCAACCCUGUCCUGGCGACAUCAGACACAGCAUGGCCAGCUGGGCAAGGGAGGGGAUUGAGGGGAUUGUCCUGCUCUGCUCUGCACUGGGGUGGCCUCACCUCCAGUGCUGGGGCAGUUUCGGGUGCCACAAUACACAAAAUACAUUUAGCUAUUAGAGAGAAUCCAAAGGAGGGCUACGAAGAUGGUGAAGAGACCUGAGGGGAAGCUGUGUGAGGUGUGACUGAGGCCAUUGGCCUGUUCAGCCUGGAGAGAAGGAGGCUGAGGGGAGGCCUCACAGCUUCCUCAUGAGGGGAGGAGGAGGGGCAGACACUGAUCUCUGCUCCAUGGUGACAGUGACAGGACCUGAGAGAAUGGCCUGAAUUUGUGUCAGGAGAGGUUUAGGUUGGAUAUCAGCAAAAGGCUCUUUACCCAGAGGGUGGUUGCAUAAUGGAGCAGGUUUUCCCAGAGAACUGGCCACAGCAGCAAGCCUGGGAGAGUUUAGGAAGCAUUUGGAAAAUUCUCUCAAGCACAUGGUGUAGUUCUAGGGUCUGCCCUGUGCCAGGUCAGGAGCUGAACUUGGAUAUCUUUGUGGGUCCCUUCAAACUCAGGAUAUUCUCUGACUCUAUGAUUCUGGUUUUCUAUACUCUCACUCCUGGAAGCACUUCAGAAUUGUACUGACUUUUCUUCCCCUGACAGAUUUGUUACAACUGACCUUUCCAUUAUUCCUUUGUAGCUUUUAUCUGAUCUCAGUUUGCAUGAAUGGCCACUGAGGCUACUCAAAGAAGGCAGUCCAUCAUAUGUAUAAACAAUCCACCUGGUCCUUGAAGAGAAACAGUUGUGAACUCUGAGACAGCCUUGGGAGCAGUUGCAGUUCCAAAGCUGUGAUCACUCUGUGCUAAAUGUUAUCAUACAUACUUGCAACAAUUAUCUUAUGCUGGGAAUAGACAUUAUCAAGGAUGGAUUCUGAAUAAUGCAUAUGAGAUAGGUUUUGGGGAGCACUGCUGGUAGAACCUUUGUCCUCUGACUUAAGUCACAUAACAGCUUUCCUUUUAACUGUUAAAUUUCAUAUAAUACCCUCCAGAAUAGAUGCUCUGCGCAGUAUUGUAAGAUAAUUCCUUAUUUGCAGCAGAGACAGCCUUCUCUAGCAAUUUCUAGUUGAUGUAUCCAUUAUAUAGUUGAGUGCAGUUUUUCUUUUAAGAGUCAACACAUUUCUUAUGCAGCAUUCAAGCCUCUCUCUGGAUGUUGAGUUCAUGUUUUCCAGGGAAUCUCCUUUCUGAAUGACUGUAUAUAAGCUUUAUAGUAACUGCAUGAGAAUAUAAUCUAGACUCUUAUUCUCUUCUUCAGACCACCUUCUUCACGGGAAGAGUUUUUCAGGGAUUGAUUUUAAGAUGUUGAUAUACUGAACUAUUAUUAAUAUUCUAUUAGUAGUUAACAUAUCUUUGUACCCGAUUAUAUAGUUUGUCUCAAUUUUCAUGCUAUUACUGUGACAAGUUCUGAUUUUCAUUUCUCACUCAAGACUUAAUUCUACAAGAACCUGAUUGCUUUGAUCUGAGACACUGAGGCAUGUAAAUAGCAGCACAGCUUAGGUAUGUAAGUGUAUCAUUAAAAAAUACUGGAUACUUGCAUAUUUAAGCUGAAAGAAAACUCUAGUUAAUCAGCUUGGAACAUCCAAGUCUGAGUUCUGCCACACUUGAGAGAUGUUCAUAGAAUCAUAACAUCAGCAGAAAAGUAGAAAAUGUGAUGUUCAAAGAAGUGAAGAAAUGUCUGCUCAAAAAGAUAUCUCUGCUUCAAAGACAUGAGACUGAUACAAAAAAUAGGACAAUAAAGUGUUCUCCAUUUCCAUAGGGGAGGAAAGAAAAGGGUUAAAAUUUUACAAAGAUUUCAUUCAGAAAAUCUUUUUACAUGAGAGAUAGUGAUGCACUAGAAUUGUCUUGGCAGCCUGUGGAAUUUCAGUUAAAGAAGGAUUUUAAGAUACAAGUUAUAGAAUUAUCAGAUAAAAAUGACUGAGGUAUGACUGAUGCUGGGCUGGGACAGCAUGAUAAAUUAGGUAAUCUCAGAAAUCUUUUCAGAACUUAUUUUUCAUAUUUUUCUCUGAGACAAUUUGAAGAAACAAAGUUAGAUGCCUGCAUUGUUUAGUCCAUCUGCCUUCUUCCUCCUCUGUAAUAGAGGAUACAAGCAUUUGCCCAGCCACUGAGGCAUGCUGUGGGGGAAAAGGCAAGGACUUUUAGCCAGUCAGAUGCAAUGGCACUAAGUAGGGAGCUGGAAAAGAUAGAUAGCACAGGCUAAAAAACUUCAGUAGAUUUGGCCAGAGUGCUUGGUCUGGAACUGUGUUAUCAGCAUCCCUUGGGCUGCCAAGUUUUCAGUGACAGCAGAAUUUAAACACUAAUUUCAUUGACUGCUGAUUCAGUUCUAUGUGAAUUGAAUAGGCAGUUUCUAGAUCAAGAAGCAAACCUGCAAGGUCCUAAUUCUACAAUUGCCUACACAUGAAGCUUAAUCUACUUGACUAGGACUGUUAAAUGUGCCUAUUCUGACAUACAAAGAAAAUUAUGGAUGCAAUCAAAAGCUUCUCUGGAUUGUACACAAAGCUUCCUGUAAUUAAUGUAAUAAUUUCAGCUUAGAUCCACUGCCUAGUCUCAGCCUCUUAAACUUAACUAGUCUCAGUUUUGACAAUGAAAAAUUUCAAAGACUAGGCAGAAGCAGGUCUUGUCCUUGGAAAAAGACAGCUGGUUGCCACAAAUGAUUGUUAUACUGAAGAUGAAAAAGUUCAAACUGCCCUUCUUCCUAUGCUUUUAAAACCAUGUGUGUUCUUAUGUGGUACAUAGAGCCUGGUGUAGCAGACACUGAGUCAAUGAAAUAAUUCACAUUGAUUUCAAGGUGUGUUGGAUUGGAUUGAUGCCAGAAAGAGAGUGGAUGCAUUUUCUCUAGAAGUGAUAGUCUCAUCUGCUUUCAUAUGCACCAAAUUCCUAAUACCCUCCCCCAUUUUUGUGGGGAAACAAAACCAAACCUACCUACCAAAAUCUUCCUUUCUUUGUUCACAAAUUCUGUCAAUUUUAGUGUAAAAAAUUAGUGGUUUAGUGUACUUUUGUUCAAAAAUCGAUGUCUUCCUGCAAAAAGUUUGGUGUAAAAAGUGACAUUCUAGCAUAAUGAGAGGGAUACUCUGCUGACCACCAUGGACAAGCACACGGGAAGGGCAUGGUUCCAGCAUUCAUGCACCAGUACAAGCUCUGGCACAUCUUUUAGAGCUAAUGUUUGACAAAUGGCAUGCAGCUUUGUCCGUUUACUGUCACUUGCAAUAAAAAUUCAUGUUGGAUUAUAUCUCUGUGCUGUAAACAGGAUGAAAUGUAGCUACUUAUAACUUAGCAGCUGGUUUGUGACUUUGUUUCCUUUCUCAUAGGAAGUAUUCAUAUUUUCAAAGAAACACUAGUGAGUUGUGGACAAGGAUUAAGUAUUUUUUUUUGUCCUGUACUGGGAAUCACUAAGUAAAGACUUAGGUCACUUUUGUAACUCUACAAUUUCAUCUGUAUUACUCUGUUCUAUCUUUCUUCUCGCUUUCAUUAUAUAGAAAACUAACUUGUCACAGCUUGUCCUUUUUAAAGGCUGAGCCUCGUGAUACAGUUUUUAAUUUUGAUAACACUGUGAGAUCCUGAGUCUUACCAUCAAAUAAUGAAUACAAAAGUGUUUGGGAUAUUGAUAAGCAGAGUCCUAUAUAGAUAUAAAUAAUUUGCUUCAUUCAAUGUGCCUUUGAAGUCCUUUUUUGUUUGCAUUCAAGAAACCCUUUAUGGGCUUUAGGACAAAUUAGGACCCUGUCUUCAUCCCUUCCUUACUGGGUACUUACUUUAAGCCUGUAAUUAGCUGCAGAUGAAGCUGUAUCUAUUUAAGUGUUUAAACAUUUGCUUGCCCCUAGAAACAUGUCUAAAUCAUGGUCAUUUUUCUCUUCUCUCUGCAGGUUUAGUCCCUGGCCCAAAAGUAAUUUAGGUCAUUCCUGUGUCACCAAAAGCAGAAGGAGAUGCCUAUUCACUGCAUUUUUCACAAUAGGGCAGGGGUGGUACAGUCCUCUUCUUGUAACUGUAGACAUUUUUAUGGCAUAGCAUUACUCAGUGUUUGUAUACUUUUUAAGCCCAGAGGAGACAAGUAGUUUUGCAAGCUUAUAACUGGAUUUACUGUAACAUCAAGACAUGCAAGACAGAGGGGAAAUCUGUACUAAGACUGCAGCUAUGGAUUUUCUCAAGAAAAGGAAAAAAAAACCUAAACAUCUAGAAUGUUUGUUUCAAAGGGCAUCAACUGUGAAAAGCAGGAUUCUCCCCACAGUGUUAGAAAGGGUGGGCAGUGAAGGAAGACCAAGGUGGUUGCUACUGUUGAGGGAUUCUCAGAUGUAAGGAUCCAGGUGUUAUUCAAAUAAAAUCAACUGCUGGCAGAGCUGCAAAAUCACUCACUAAUAAGAAUGGAUUGAGCACUGCCUGGGGGUGCUGACAGAAGCUCAAAGGAGAUCCUCUCCUACACACUACAUUUGUCUUACAUAAAGGCUGGAUUUUUGAUUCACUGAGGUUGAAUUUGGAUGAUCUGCUUCCAUUAUCACUUAUCAUACUAACACAGCCCAUUGAUUUUACUACCACCUCUGCUCUCUCUCAUCCUCCUGCAUCUGUGUUCCAGGAAACCAGUCUUACAGCUGCUGACUCCAGAAGCGCUGGCCAGCCACAACCCACGCUCCUCUCACACAGCCUCACACCCCAGCAGCACUUACCUGCUGCAGCAGCAUGGUUCU